AAAACUUUAAGUUAAUUAAACUAUUAAUUUUCAAUAUUAAAAAUAAAAAUUUUUUUUAAGUUUUA
rnacentral:tRNA from 1 species